AAGAAAGUUUAAGAAUAUUGAUAUAGAGUGAGUUCAGAUAUAUAUGUCAAAUAAAGUAUUUCCCCAUGUAUCAUCACUGUCCAAUGAAAAAUAAUAGUUCAUCUGAAAAACAGAUUGUCUUCCAUUAGAAGUGCAUGUCCUUAAAAGUGUAAUAGAACCCUUACCUUUCUGUGAGCUACAGAGUGGAGGCUUUCAAGUACUUAACACCAAAAGAAGGAAAGCCCUUCCUUUAAGUUUCAUAUGCAAAUGACACACAAACAGAAUCAACAGACAAAAGAAUAUUAUUUUAAUAAUUAAAUUUUGAAGACUUUUCUAGGCAUGAUUAUCAGUGCAUCUAUAAGUAUGCGCUUCGGCAAAUAGCACGUAGUUAUAUACACAGAUUUCAGUCCUGUUUCCUUGUUUGGAGUGGAAAAUGAGACAUUUUAGACUUGUGCAUGGUCUUCACAUAUAAAUCCAUAGCCAUCUCAUUCACUUGCUAAUUAAUUUCUACAUAAUUUUUUCAUUUGAUUCUGUAACAUCUGUUAAUCCCAAUCCCAUCUGCUGAGACUAUAUGGAACACAAUCUAUAAAGAAUACUGAGGAGAAAUGUACUGUAUUAUACUGACUUUGAAAAACAAAUAUUCUCCCCAUGAGUCUACUAAAACACUAUGACUGUUAUGCAUACCUCAACUAACAGAAAUACCCAGUAGGAUUUGCAUAUGUAAAUGAGGCACAGUAUAUGUGUCACUGUGGGAAACUGUUCAGCUAGGCUCAAACAUAUUUAGGUUUGCUUUGCAGUCAUUCAAACUAAGAAAUACUAAACAUCUGAAGAUUCAUUUUACAUAGGUCACUUUUUAUAAAUACCUAUUUAGCACAUGAAAAGAGUUGUUUAUGUAGUUUAUGUGUGUUUUACUAAAAUAUAGGAUAUUUGGUGCGCAGUUGGAGGAAGUGGUUUCUAUCGUUAUGUCAUUAGCUAUUAAAACAAGAACUUGUAAUAUGUAGUUCAAUAUUUGGAUUUACUUGUUUCUUUUUUCUUUGUAAUUCAUGUUUCAUAUGUUAUUUGUUCUUCCAAAAGCAGAUCAGGGUAUUUAGCCGUUUCUGCACCUAUUCUAGAAAAUGCGUUUUUCUAGAGGGAUCAAUUUCACCACACACACACACACACACAAAAGUUGAAAUUAUUUUCACAAAAUAACAAGGCCUCAUUUCAUAAUUCAGAAGUUAUUUUGAUCGCCAAGCCUACCUAAACACUCAUAUUUUGCUGUUAUAGUCAAGAAUGGCAAUAUACAGUAUGAAUUCUGAAUCUUCUACACGAUAGUUAUUGUAUUUCUGUAACAUAAUUCAUAGUUCAUUCUGCAAUGUGAUAAGUAUUUUUUGCAGGGAAAUAUCACCUUGUUGUUAAACAAGUAUUCAGUAACUUUUUGAAUAGACAACUCAUGGUAACUUUUUGUCACCAAACUACAGCAUUGAACCAUUGUUCUUCCAAGUAUUGAGAAUAUUCUUGCUUUGAUUUCCUCAUGCCUAGGUGACAGGAGAUAAUAGUAGAUAAUCAUAGAAUCAUGAAGGUUGGAAAAGAUCACUAAGAUUGUCCAGUUCAACCAUCAACCCAUCAUCACCAGUACUAGAUACUUCUAAUUGUCAUAGCUAAUAAAACAAGUAUGCCUGUCACUUGCUUGUGCUACUCAUUUUCCCAGCAUAAUUUCUUCUAUAGCUUUUCUAGCAUCCUCUGAAACAAAAAGUCUUAAGCCCUGUAUAAAAAGAAACUAAAGAUCACAUGUGACAGGCUCUUCAUUAGCAUUGCAAAGCUCCUGCAAAGACUCUUAAAGUAGAAAAGAUAAAUAUGGACUCUCUGGCUACAAAGGCUUUCAGGGAUUAUGAGUCAAAUAUGUUACAUCUGAAAAUCUCUUUGCAUUGUCUGAGACUAUUAGUGAAGCCAGAAUUUUUGUGUUGAGUUCCUAAGGUAUACUGAUGUGUGUGAGUGUACGCAAGUAUGUAUAUGUGCAUACCUACCCUAAUAACAAAGGAAAACAAAUAGAAACUGGGAAGGGUUUUGCAGGUGUUUGUAUGUUUUCUAUGGCUGUUUGCUGAAUUUGACUGACUACUUAAAGUGAAAUAUGCUCCAUUAAUGACACAAAGGACUCAAUAUUGCUAUUUCAAAGGAAUAUCGCAUCAUCUAAUCUUUGUUUUCUUAUAAAAUCGGCAUAAAUAUCAUGUUUAUGAUUGAAAGGAUGAGUCCCUUAAUAAGAGUUCAAAUAACCUAGAUGGAAUCCAGCUGUGCACUACCAAAGUAACCUGAUAUUGUAGAACAGCUUUUAAUGCUUAAGUGUAAUUUUGCCCUUCAAGAAACAGCUUCAAACUAAUGAUGGCAGGAAGAUAUCUCUUCCAGAUCAGUAGCUGAAAUCUGUAGCUCUUCUGGUCCACUAAUUUACAUAUUUUCUUACAAUGGCAAAGUCAUUUUCAAGAACACUGGAUAAGGAAAAAACUCACAUAGCCUCUUAAAUUGCUGCCUUUGAGGAGAUGAGAUAUUAUUCCAAAAACAAUUUCUCUGAGAUUCCCCAAUGGGAGCAAUCAUGCUAUGCCUCAUAUGCAAGCAUAAAGCAAAUAAACAAAAUAUCAGUCACCACCUGCAGCUUGAUGUUAGUGCUGCUUCCCACAGUGACUCCUGAUCUCUCUGUGUCCCAAGCUAAUAUUAGUAUAAUAUGUAAACUGAUAAAAGAUCUCUUCACACAACUGGGGAGCAAACGAAGAUGGAGACCCACUGGAGGACACUGGUCUCUGUUCAGACUCUGCUCAGCAUGCUCUUAUGAGCAAUGACUGUGAAGUUAGUGUUCCAUGUACAUUCAUUGCAUUAGAAGAAAAAAAAAAAGAAAAAAAAAAAAGAUGAAACUGCAGUAAAAAAAGAAAUACAGCAGAGGAAGCAGCUGAUUCAUCUUCAUCCCACAAUAGCAGUAGUGCAGACAGCCAUGAAGGAUCUUGCACAGCAAGCUCUCUCUGCUCCUGUAUUCCUCCUGCACAGCUCAUUGGGUUUGGCUCUACUCCACUGGCAGUGGAAGAAUAUGCUAUCAGACUACCAAACAGCAGUGAAAGGGGAAACAUCAGGCACCCUUAUCUGUCCCAACAAAAACACGUUUGCCUGAAGGAAUAUCACAAAUACGUGGUGUAAAUAUUAACCCCCUACUUGUGCAGAAAAUAACAGUGAAAAAUGGGAGCUGGGCAACGCUGUCGGCCACAUGCUGAAAAGGCAGAAUGCACCCUCCUAUGUUUGUGUCUUCAGGUCAACAGCUGUUCUGUCAGCACAGGACUCCAGGCCUCAGUUCUGACCUGCUUUACAUGUGCAGCAACAGCUGCUUCUGUGUUUGUCGCUCCAUUUUAGCAUCUUACUGUAGUUCAUGGGGUUUGCUAUGUUAUGUAAAUCAUUUUUUUAACAAGGUUUUAAGAAAUAAAUUGAGCUCAUUCACAGAUAGGCAUAAGGACAGCAUUUUAUCAAGAAGAUAUUUUUAGGGAAUAGAAAUCAUCUGCCAGUCUGUAUCAAAUCUAGCUAGAAUGAUCAGUUAAAAAAAAUACAUUUUUUAACCAGAACAACAACAACAACAAAAAAAGGACUCUCUAAAAUGUUUUUAGGAGGAAAGGGAAAGUGCUGCAUUUUCUAUCAGUCUGAAACAUUUUCAGGUAUUAGGGAGGCUUAAGGCUCAAGUGGUCUUUCCUUCCUGAAGGAGUCUAUCCCACUCUCUUGGGGACCUCAGAGAAGACCGCUCCCAGCAGUGAGCAAAGGUCUUUCAGAUGUGGCCUGAGAAUGGCAGUUCUGAAUAGAAUAAUUCUUUCAGGUCUUUAAGUCACAGAUCAUCACUUCAGAACUGAGACAAAGACGAUUACAAGACAGAAAGCAAUGAUUCAUAUUGCUGUCAGUAUUUUUAUUUAAUAUCACUAAGCAUAUACCAAAGCAGUGAAAAGAGAGACUGUUCAAAUCCUAAGUGUGCAUAAACCUAAAUACCAAGAAAUGAAAGAAAACUUUGUCAGUCAUUCAGACAAAGCCAAGCAGAGAGAAGCUUUGAGGGAGUCAAAAUAGAAAACAUUCAGACUUAAAAAUUUUAUCCUAACCUUUUGUUUAUCCAUACUUGAUCCACAUUUCCUCUCUAGGAAUACAUGAUCUAUACAGUCAAAUAUUUAACAAUAGAAAAUAUUUUUAUCUUCUGCUACUUGUUAAUUCCUUAGUGGACUUUAUAUCUUAAUUUCACUGCAAGAGGUUCUUCUUGAUUAAAACACAGCUUUUUCUGUGUAGAUACAUGAUAUUUUUAAUUCACUUUUUCUUUCUGCAGGGAAUUAUCAGGUUACAAUUACUGUGACACUCCUUUCCAUGCAGUUCAUUUCUGAAGAAUAGGUUUUAUUUUCCUUAGUUUAACACCACCAAAUGCUAGAACUCUUAUAUUUCUACAGAAAUAUUUAUAAAAGAAUAAAUAAAGAAGACACAAUAGUCAUUCCAAACUGAAGAAUUUAAAACGUAAAUAAACAGGUUCUCAAGAAGGCUUUACCUCUUUGGAGCUUAUUCCUGUCCUCUCAGAACAUUUUUCAAACUCUGCAAGAAACAGUGUAUAUUACAUAAAAUAGCUAAUUGAUAUACACUGCAUAAACGAUGUGAAUAUUUUUAAUUUAGAAGUCAACUGCAGUGCUAGAUGACUUUGCUGCGGCAGACAUGGACAUCUCACUGGUACUGUAAUACCACUAAAAGGGAGUUAUUGUGAUGUUGCUGGCCAGGCACCUAAUGCUUUGUUACCUCAAUCACUGCGUAUAUCGUGAAAGGUCACAUCCUUAAGAGGGAAAAUAAACUCUUCUGCAGGAAUGAAGAUGUUCCACAGAAUAUUUCUGGGCACCAGUAUUUUUCUUGAACUGUGAAAGAUUCAGACUGUUUUUAUAAAUGGUAGGAUUUUGUUAUUAAAGUUUGAAGUUUUCAAUAAGAAAAUAUUUUGCAUCUUUUGAGUAGAUUUAAACUGAAUAGGAAAGAAAUAAGAAAAGCAUUUACUUUACAAGAUAGUUUAAGGCUCUGAUGGUAUGCUCCCUCACUCUUUCUCACUGCUAAACCAAGUUGCAGCAUAGGUCUACUUUUGCCACUGCAAAAUCUCUUCUAAAAUGAACAUAUCUUAUGAAACUAAUUUUCAUGAGGGGGGAAGUAAUAUUAUUACAUAUUAACCAUGUUGUUUGAUAUUGAGGAACAGUUUCUGGAGAUAUUCUCAUGUAUUUUGAAUAAAAAACUUCUGUUUUUGACAAGGAUGAGAUUUUCCCUUCUCCACACUCUAACACUGAACACUGUGGCAGGAAGGUUCAAAUUGUUCAGCAAAUCCAGUUGCUGAAAGGAAAACAAUUUAGAUGAUUCUAAGAGAAUUGUGACAAAAAAUUCUAGGAAGUAUUUCUUACAAAGCAUGAGUCUCGGUGAGAAGUGCUUUAUUUAUUUUUAAAGAUACACUGUCCAAUAAAAGACCAUAAUAAUGUAAAGUUAGGUAAGAUUUAUUUGUGCCACCCUUAUUAAUCAGUAUAUAUAUAUAUGUUUGGGUUUCUUAUGACUAAGAGCAUUAUCUUCUAUGACUUUUCUGUCUGGUUUUUGGACAGGAGCAGAAAUUCUGGAAUUUUCUGUAAAUCUUGUUGAAUAAAGUAAUUACUGAGGUUCAGUAAGGUCAAGUGCAGGGUGCUGCACUUGGGUCGGGGCAAUCCCAGGUACUUAUACAAACUGGGGGAAGAUCUCCUUGACAGCAGCCCUGCGGAGAAGGACGUGGGGGUCCUGGCGGACGAGAAGCUGGACAUGAGCCAGCAGUGUGUGCCUGCAGCCCGGAAGGCCAACUGUGUUCUGGGCUGCAUUAAAAAAGGGGUGGCCAGCAGGGAGAGGGAGGUGAUUGUCCCCCCCUACUCAGCUCUUGUGAGGCCCCAUCUGGAGCACUGCGUCCAGGACUGGGGCCCCCAGUACAGGAAGGACAUGGAGCUCUUGGAGCGGGUCCAGAGGAGGGCCACUAAGAUGAUCAGAGGGCUGGAGCACCUGUCCUAUGAAGAAAGGUUGAGGGAACUGGGCUUGUUUAGCUUGGAGAAGAGAAGGCUGCAGGUGACCUAAUUGCAGCCUUUCAGUACCUACAGGGAGCCUAUAAACAGGAGAGGACUCAACUCUUUGAAAGGGUAGAUAACAGCAGGACAAGGGGAAAUGGUUUUAAGUUGAGGGAGGAAAGAUUUAGGUUGGAUGUCAGGGGGAAGUUCUUUACAGAGACAGUGGUGAGGUGCUGGAACAGGCUGCCCAGAGAGAUUGUGGAUGCCCUGUCCCUGGAGGUGUUCAGUGCCCAGUCCCUGGGCAGCCUGGUCUGGUACUAAAUAUGGAGACUGGAGGCCCUGCCUGUGGCAGGGAGGUUGGAGAUUCAUAAUCCUUGAGGUCCCAUCCAACCUGAGUCAUUCUGUGAUUCUGUGACACACUGGAACAGGUUGCCCAAGGAGGUUGUGGAUGCCCCAUCCCUGGAGGCAUUCAAGGCCAGGCUGGAUGUGGCUCUGGGCAGCCUGGUCUGGUGGUUGGCGACCCUGCCCACAGCAGGGACUUGAAACUACAUGAUCUUUGAGCUCCUUUUCAACCCAAGCCAUUCUAUGAUUCUAUGGUUCUAUGAUAUCUUUUUAAAACUUU
ensembl:lncRNA